rnacentral:lncRNA from 10 species
UAGUUGGAUUAUAUGAGUGAAUAAAACUAUCAACUACCUGCCCACGUGGAGACAACAUUCUAGUGGCGGAGAAAGGAGGAGCCCCACUCAACCGCCAGAAGAAUAAAGGAACACAGUUGUACCAUUUGAAUUUGACAUUAGGACAGCUACCGGGACCCAGGAGAAAUGACUCACCUAAGCUCACUUGAACUCUUCAGAGCCAGAGGAUCAGUCUCAUGGUGUUUGGCUGAGUGGUCCAUCAGCCUAACAGUCCCUGUGUGUGUUCCUGACCCUUUCUCUAUUCUCACACCUCUUUUUGCCUCUGCUGCAGAGGACCAGUGGCUGUCCUUUCUAAAUAGCUGUUUGUCCUUUUUAUAAAAUUUAUAUUACUCUAAGUUCUGGAAUACAUGUGCAGAAU